UUUCCGUAGGUGAACCUGCGGAAGGAUCAUUAUCGAAAUACUUAUUUAGCGUUCCGUGCUAUCCCAUUGUUUUAUUUACCCUGUUGCUUCCACUGGAUGAGUUUCCAUACCUUGUGUUUGAGAAACUUUGGCUUGUGUAAGAUUCAUUCACGGCCAGCCAGUGAGAAGACCAUUUACAAAACCCUGUUAAGAACCAAUUGUCUGAAUAUUUUACUCCAAUGAAAUAAAACUUUCAACAACGGAUCUCUAGGCUCUUGCAUCGAUGAAGAACGGCAGC
rnacentral:misc_RNA from 1 species